CUGGCCUGAUGUGACUAGCAAAAUGUG
rnacentral:piRNA from 1 species